UACGGGGGGGGCAAGCGUUGUUCGGAAUUACUGGGCGUAAAGGGCUCGUAGGCGGCCAACUAAGUCAGACGUGAAAUCCCUCGGCUUAACCGGGGAACUGCGUCUGAUACUGGAUGGCUAGAGGUUGGGAGAGGGAUGCGGAAUUCCAGGUGUAGCGGUGAAAUGCGCAGAUAUCAGGAGGAACACCAGUGGCGAAGGCGCCACUCUGGGCCGUAACUGACGCUGAGACACGAAAGCGUGGGUAGCAAACAGG
rnacentral:rRNA from 1 species